rnacentral:rRNA from 1 species
CUUGCCUACGGGGCGCAGCAGUGGGGAAUAUUGCACAAUGGGGGAAACCCUGAUGCAGCGACGCCGCGUGAGCGAUGAAGUAUUUCGGUAUGUAAAGCUCUAUCAGCAGGGAAGAAAAUGACGGUACCUGACUAAGAAGCCCCGGCUAACUACGUGCCAGCAGCCGCGGUAAUACGUAGGGGGCAAGCGUUAUCCGGAUUUACUGGGUGUAAAGGGAGCGUAGACGGUCCUGCAAGCCAGAUGUGAAAGCCCGGGGCUCAACCCCGGGACUGUUUUUGAAGCUGUUGAACUAGAUUGCAGGAGAG